AAACGCCCUGUGCGGAGCCGCAUGCAGGGUGUUGUGGGGGCUGAGGGCUAGAUACCCUCGGCUACCCGAU
rfam:Gammaproteobacteria bacterium Q1 genomic scaffold scaffold8, whole genome shotgun sequence.